GAAUUUUAUAUAAAUUUUAUUUUUAUUUAGUAAAAUUAAAAAAAAUAGAAUUUAUAUUUGAUUGGGAGGAUUAUUAAAUUUUAUAAACUUUAAUAUAAAUAGAGACAUUAAUUUAUGAUUAUUUUUAAAUUGAUUAAGAUUUUAUGGUUAAUUUUAUGUUAAAAUUAAUUACCUUAGGGAUAACAGCGUAAUAUUUUUAGAAAGAUCUUAUUGAUAAGAAUGUUUGC
rnacentral:rRNA from 1 species